AUUGAACGCUGGCGGCAGGCUUAACACAUGCAAGUCGAGCGAGCGGCGGACGGGUGAGUAAUGUCUGGGAAACUGCCUGCUGGAGGGGGAUAACUUCUGGAAACGGUAGCUAAUACCGCAUACCAUCGGAUGUGCCCAGAUGGGCUUAGCUAGUAGGUGGGGUAACGGCUCACCUAGGCGACGAUCCCUAGCUGGUCUGAGAGGAUGACCGGCCAAACUGGAACUGAGACACGGGCCAGACUCCUACGGGAGGCAGCGGUGGGGAAUAUUGCACAAUGGGCGCAAGCCUGAUGCAGCCAUGCCGCGUGUAUGAAGAAGGCCUUCGGGUUGUAAAGUACUUUCAGCGGGGAGGCGUUACUCGCAGAAGAAGCACCGGCUAACUCCGUGCCAGCAGCCGCGGUAAUAC
rnacentral:rRNA from 1 species